GACGAACGCUGGCGGCGUGCUUAACACAUGCAAGUCGAACGGAAAGGCCCUGCUUUUGUGGGGUGCUCGAGUGGCGAACGGGUGAGUAACACGUGAGUAACCUGCCCUUGACUUUGGGAUAACUUCAGGAAACUGGGGCUAAUACCGGAUAGGAGCUCCUGCUGCAUGGUGGGGGUUGGAAAGUUUCGGCGGUUGGGGAUGGACUCGCGGCUUAUCAGCUUGUUGGUGGGGUAGUGGCUUACCAAGGCUUUGACGGGUAGCCGGCCUGAGAGAGUGACCGGCCACAUUGGGACUGAGAUACGGCCCAGACUCCUACGGGAGGCAGCAGUGGGGAAUAUUGCACAAUGGGCGGGAGCCUGAUGCAGCAACGCCGCGUGCGGGAUGACGGCCUUCGGGUUGUAAACCGCUUUCGCCUGUGACGAAGCGUGAGUGACGGUAAUGGGUAAAGAAGCACCGGCUAACUACGUG
rnacentral:rRNA from 1 species